UCCUCUUCAAUUCUACCUUCGAUGGGCGUGAAUCUUAAGCAGACCAGUUCACAUUCUUCUUUAAGUAUUACUUUUUUCCUUUCAAUUAGGGUUUGAUUUUGCCAAUUAUGGUUUGUUUUCCUUGUCACCCAAUGGGUUCGGACUUCGGAGCAGACAAAGAUUGAAUGGAUCAGGGAUAUGUUUAUCAACCUCUUUGAAGAUAAGAGAAGCCAUGUGAACCGGAAUUCCAGUCCUAUUGUUCCUCAUAAUGAUAUAUCCUACCCUCCUCUUCGCCAAUAAUGGUUUCUGCCAUAAAUUCUCCUUUUCUCUCUGAAAGCUAAGUAUUUGGCUGCACUAUUAAACAGCGGAGUUGAAAAGCAAAACACAGCGAAGAGAGAAAAAUAUGGGGGUGACAAAGGAGCAGGUUGAGUCUUCACUCACGUCAAAGCUGAAUCCUUCUCACCUUGUAAGUUUCCCAUAUCACUUCUCAGUCUUUAAUUUGCUCCUGUAUAUUUGUUUUAAAUUGAAUUUUAGUCACUGUUUUGAUGUAUUGAGUUAUGCAAUUGCAUAUGUUUAAUGUUUAAAUUUUUGGUUUUCAUCACUCUUGGAUUGGUUUUUAAUUCUCAAGAUUUUGUUGGGUUUGAAGAAAAUUUAUAAAAUUUGAUUAUUAAGAUUUAAAAGUACAGAAUCAACCAUACCCAGUAAGUGAAUUUUGUUUUCCUUGACUGGAACUGGCAGGCUAAGCUCAUUUUAUUAUCAAAUUUAUUUUAUUUUUAAAGAAUUUAUUUUAUUUUUAAAGAAUUUAUUUUACAGUUUUUCUUCCCCUCUUUUGGGUAUGGUAGUUUUUAGGUUUUUAUUCAGUUAAGGUCUCAAUUUUAGUGUUUUUAUGGUGGAGAUGGUUUGAGGCAUAAGAAAUUUUGUAAAGAUUUAUUACAUGUGAGUUUCAUUUUGCUGUUUAUUGACAUGUGUUUUGAUUGAUGGAUGUUACAGAAGUCGUUUCACAAAAUGAGACUGAGAAAAAUCCUUUGAAGAUUUUUAACUUUGGUACAUGUAGGACGAGUUUU
rnacentral:lncRNA from 1 species